rnacentral:rRNA from 1 species
AUAAGGGUACUCCUAGUGCUUAUGCUUCGGCAUGGGCUUUUGCCAAGUGUAAAUAGCUUGGCGAAUAAGUGGUGGGUAAGACGGGUGCCAUCCGCCGCGGUAACACCUGCGCCACGAGUGGCGAUCACAUUUAUUGGGCCUAAAGCGUUCGUAGCCGGAUAGUUAAGUCCUGAGUGAAAUCGUUGAGCUCAACGAAACGACGUGCUCGGGAUACUGGCUUUCUAGGGACCGGGAGGGGCUAGAGGUAUUCUUGAGGGAGCGGUUAAAUGCUAUAAUCUCAAGAGGACCACCUGUGGCGAAGGCGUCUAGCCAGAACGGAUCCGACGGUGAGGAACGAAAGCUAGGGGAGCAAACCGGAUUAGAUACCCGAGUAGUCCUAGCCGUAAACGCUGUGUACUAGAUGUUGCAUAUUUUUCGUGAUUAUGCAGUGUCGGAGCGAAGGCGUUAAGUACACCGCCUGGGAAGUACGGUCGCAAGCUGAAACUCAAAGGAAUUGACG